AUAGGACUUCGAUAUAGAUUUUACACAGUUAGAAGAAGCGUAUGGAAAUGCGCACCAUAGGGGGUGAUAGUCCCGUAUUUUAAAGCUGGGUUAGAGUUUUAGGAGUAUCCUGAGUAGCGCGGGACACGAGAAAUCUUGCGUGAAUUAGCGGGGCCCAUCCCGUAAGGCUAAAUAUGUCUGAGAGACCGAUAGUGAACCAGUACCGUGAGGGAAAGGUGAAAAGAACCUCGAACAGAGGAGUGCAAUAGAUCCUGAACCCGUCUGCCUACAAGCGGUAGGAGCCGAUAUUAUAUUGGUGACUGCGUGCCUUUUGCAUAAUGAACCUACGAGUUUUUCUAUUCGGCGAGGUUAAGGUGUUAAUCACCGGAGCCGUAGCGAAAGCGAGUUUUAAACAGCGUAUAGUCGGAUGGAGAAGACGCGAAACCAAGUGAUCUACCCUUGGUCAGGUUGAAGGUUAGGUAACACUAACUGGAGGAUCGAAUCGUUAAGCGUUGAAAAGCUUUCGAAUGAACUGAGGGUAGGGGUGAAAGGCUAAUCAAACUUGGAGAUAGCUCGUACUCCCCGAAAUGCAUUUAGGUGCAGCCUUGUAUUUUUUGACUGUGAGGUAGAGCGACUGAUUGGAUGCGAGGGUUUCACCGCCUAUCAAGUCCAGACAAACUCCGAAUGCGCAGUUCAUAUAUUACAGGAGUGAGGGCAUGGGUGCUAAGGUCCAUGUCCGAGAGGAGAAGAAUCCGGACCAUCAGCUAAGGUCCCAAAAUACCGGCUCAGUUGAAUAAACGAAGUCAAGAUGCAUAGACAGCUAGGAUGUUGGCUUGGAAGCAGCCAUUCAUUUAAAGAGUGCGUAACAGCUCACUAGUCGAGGAUUUUGGCGUGGAUAAUAAUCGGGCAUAAGUCGGUUACCGAAGCUGUGGGAUCUGCAAAGAUCGGUAGGGGAGCAUUCCAAUUUGGUUGAAGAUAAGGAUUGAUUCUUGUUGGACGGAUUGGAAAAGCAAAUGUAGGUAUAAGUAACGAUAAAGGGGGUGAGAAACCUCCUCGCCGAAAGACUAAGGUUUCCUGAUCAACGCUAAUCGGAUCAGGGUUAGUCGGGACCUAAGGGGCAGCCUUUUGGCGUACCCGAUGGCAUAAUGGGUUAAUAUUCCCAUACUAAUGGUAUGAGUGAUGUGGAGACGUAGGAGUGACAGAGGAGCCGACUGACGGAAUAGUUGGUUGAAGGGAGUAGAAGUUGAUUGGUGUAGGCAAAUCCGCACUGAGAUUCGAACCUGAUAGUACCGAGCGUAUUUAUACAAUCGGAUAUUUCUCGUAACCAUACUACCAAGAAAAUCUGCUAAACAUAUUGUACCAUUACCCGUACCGUAAACCGACACAGGUAGUUGGGUUGAGUAUACUAAGGCGCUCGAGAUAUUCGCGGUUAAGGAACUAGGCAAAAUAGUCCUGUAACUUCGGGAAAAAGGACGCCACACUGUUAGUGUGGCCGCAGAGAAUAGGCCCAGGCGACUGUUUAACAAAAACAUAUGGCUAUGCUAAAUGGAAACAUGCUGUAUAUAGCCUGACACCUGCCCGGUGCCGGAAGGUUAAGAGGAGAAGUUAUCGCAAGAGACGCUUUGAAUUGAAGCCCCGGUAAACGGCGGCCGUAACUAUAACGGUCCUAAGGUAGCGAAAUUCCUUGUCGGGUAAGUUCCGACCUGCACGAAUGGUGUAACGAUCUGGGCACUGUCUCAACCGCGAGCUCGGUGAAAUUGUAGUAUCGGUGAAGAUGCCGAUUACCCGCAACGGGACGAAAAGACCCCGUGAACCUUUACUAUAGCUUUACAUUGGAUUUGGGUGUCAGAUGUGUAGGAUAGGCCGGAGACUGAGAGUUGGUGACGCCAGUCAUCAAGGAGUCGCUGUUGAAAUACGGCCCUUUUGACAUUUGGGUUCUAACUUGUAGAUCAAGGACAAUGUAUGGUAGGUAGUUUGACUGGGGUGGUCGCCUCCAAAAGCGUAACGGAGGCUUCUAAAGGUACCCUCAGGCCGAUUGGUAACCGGUCGUAGAGUGUAAUGGCACAAGGGUGCUUGACUGGGAGACAAACAAGUCGCACAGGUAGGAAACUAGAGCAUAGUGAUCCGGUGGUUCCGUAUGGAAGGGCCAUCGCUCAAAGGAUAAAAGGUACUCCGGGGAUAACAGGCUGAUCGCUCCCAAGAGCUCAUAUCGACGGAGCGGUUUGGCACCUCGAUGUCGGCUCGUCACAUCCUGGGGCUGGAGAAGGUCCCAAGGG
rnacentral:rRNA from 1 species